AACAGCGGCAGUAUACAGAAACACAGGAGAGCGUCAACCGGCGUUCAGCUUCAAUGAACGAUAUCGCAGUACAGUGCCAGUGAUGUGUCCGAUAACAUGGUGCUGGCUUGUGCAUAGGGUCUCCACUUGACGUCUCCGCUCCUAAGCAGGUCUCGCGCAAAACGCACCGCCUAACGUCGUCGAAUGCUCUACAUGGAGCGUCUGUGGAACAGCGAUUCGUGGUGAGCGAAGAAGUGUCCAUAGAAAUCUGCAUUUUGUCUGAUAACGGUGCAUGCAGUCUGGUCGUAUGUGUGUUGAUAUAGGCUCCAAUGCGUGCCUGAGGUCGUACGGGUAAAUACGCGCUGGAAGCUGCGGACGGAAUCCAGGUAGCGCUAUGACAAUCGAAGGAUCCGCUAGCGAGUGGUCGACGCUGACGGCUCGACGUAGUCGAAUCACUGUGCAAGGGCACGGGGCGAGCCCAGGUCGAACUCGCUGAGACCCAACCAGCUGCGGAUGAAAGAGGUGCUCCAAGGAACGCAGCAUCAAGGUCAGCGAUAUGGCAGAAGCGGGAACGCACGCACACACAGUGUGGAACGAGUGCAGUGCACGAUGGAUCUGGUAUUGCUGUCAUCGCUUUUGGUACAUGAGUAUCACCUGUCGACCGAAUGAAGUCCGUAGCGACAGCAAGUGGCGCCUGGGCGCGGGGAAGGUUGGGCGUUUUCCCGGAAGCGUCGCGAGUCCGCACGAAAGACCCGCUGGUCGACAGUGCACCGACGAUAACUGCGUCGACUCGUCAUGCAUGACAUGAAGAGAACGACAGCCUCGGUGGUGUCCGUACAACUAGACUACUGCAGAGCGGUGAUUUUUGCGGCACGCUAGUCGUACUCGUACGAGAAUAAAAUGGUAUGGGCCCAAGCCGAGCGUACACGUUCAAGUAUCGGUCUCUUCCGAAGGUCAUCAGCAGAAGCCGUUGCGAGCUUUUUCCUGUGACCGCUUCCUUGCGCUCUGUUCAAAUCGCCGGCUAUCAAUAGGUCUGGAGCUCCAGUCCCUCUGGAUCCCUUACCAGCUGUCGAAGCAUGUUGAUGGAAGCGUUCAAGUCCCGAUUUCGCUACUUCCGGCUGCUGUCAGAGCAUGUCAUGCAUCGGCAAACGCUGCGACCUAUGCUUCGCUUGCCAUUUCCAUGUUGUUUCUGUUCGACUUCGAUGUACGCGUCAAAGCGGUGACAUCUGGUUAUCUUGCGGUGUUCUCCUGUGUCCGCAACGCCGGCUUCACGGGGCUACUUCCUUGUGGUGCCUGAACGCUUACCUCAUUGCCCGCUAGAUGCGCUUGACGGAUGCAGAGACGCUCGUCCAUAUCCGAAUCCGUUUCUGCGCCCGGGGAUGCAGCGCCCGAUCAGACGUGCUUUUCCAGGUUAUCCACUUGGUGCGUAGUUGGUCCCCUGUAUGCGUAUGCGAACGUUGCGUCAUCCGACAGAGGAUUUGCGGAUCGCGAUAUUGUCCAUGAUGAAACCAGUACCGCGUCCGAAAUCGGAGCCCGACGAUCAGCUCGUCACAUUCCCAUCGGUAUACGCCCCGUCGUGCACAGCAGUGAUGCUCUCGCUAUCGCAAGCAGUCGCUGCGAUGACUAGAUUCCGAGUGAAAGAUGCUAUUCCAAGUCAACAGAAGAGAACAGAGACGAUCGUGCAUAUCCCGUGAGAGGUAUUGUGCUGGUGUCGGAUGCCGUUUCGUCUAAGGUCACAUGGAGAGGAGGAUUUGUAUUCCGCAGUUGUCGAUUGCUUGACGUGACACGUUCAUUGAACUUUAAACAAGAACUUGUGAACAAGUGCUCUAGCGACGACAUUGAGCUGUUUUCUUCAUCGAUCCAGUGGCACGAAUAGCGGCGCCUGCGACUUGCCUUGGUUGAUCAAAAACGUGCAGCAUGCGCAAACCAUACAUGCAGCACGUAAGGAAUUCAGAAGAUCAAAGGCUUCUAUCUAUGAAUUUGUUGAUGAUAUCGAUUAUUUUACGAAGCCUUUUUCGAAGGUGUCUCGAUUCGCCCUGAUGUUGAGUACGUAACGAGUCCAUGCGGCAACGAGUCGACGCAGUCACUCCACAGAAACAGCCGAGAAUCUUAAAAGGAC